GUCGAUCCAAGGCCUCUUCUGCUCGAGCCUCCUCACGUCCUGUUCCAAAUUAUAAUUAAAUUCCCAACCAAAAAUCCAAUAUUUAUACAAAAUAGGCGAAAUUAAACGUGAGCCGUAACCACGCUCAUCAUUGCCUAACUUCAAUAUUCCUAAUUCGAUACGGUCCACACUUCAACAUCAAAACCAGCAGCCUUAAAAUAAUCCCCUACAGAUUAAACAACUUUAAUUCAACGGCCGGAUUCUACCCUAAUUAACCGCCAAAAUACCAAACUUUGAAAAAUCUCAGACCUAUCCAAAACUCCUCAAAAAAUUCCAAACUUCACAUGAUUAGUCUCCCUUUAAUAUAACACAUUUAAAACCAUGAAAAUCUCAAUAACAGCGGCGGUGCCGCUGUCUGCUCUGCCAACACCGACGACCUCUAAUGCCUACCAAAUUUUAGCAGCGUCUUCCUCUCAACCCACUCUACAACUUUCCUAACUAGCACAAACACCAAUUCCAAGCCUAACUAGGUCAAUCGGAAAAAAACAUUUCAAGAAACCCUAGAACUUCUACUCACCGAUUCUCCUCACCUGAAGCAAACUGGAUUGAGUCCUUUUAGGGCAAGGCUACUGGGUUGAAGACCUUCAAAACCAUAUAAGGCUUGCCUGGAUUGGUGGCCGGAGGAGGAAGUUCCGGCGACGGAACACCACGAACGACCAGAGCUCUCGGGCGCGAUAUCUCCUUCACGGUGGCGCUAGAGAGGUUGCCACCGGUCCAUGAAGGAAGAGGAGAUGAUGGCCGACCGUUUGGGACCGGUCAAGAAUCUGAACUGGCUCCUCUUCCUAGGUCAAAUCUUUCUGCAAACUAAUCGGCUGCUCUUGCAACACAUGGGAUGGAUCGGCAAUAUACUUGCGAAGCAUGGAUACAUCAAACACAUUAUGUAUCCUGGAUAGUUCUGGAGGCAAAACUAACCGAUAAGCAAGUGAACCGACUCGCUCUAUAAUCUCAUAAGGGCCAAUAUACCUCGGACUAAGCUUCCCACGUUUACCAAAACGUACUACCCCUUUCCAAGGAGAUAGUUUCAAGAACACCCAAUCACCCACUUGAAACUCUAAGUCUUUCCUGCGGACAUUUGCAUAACUCUUCUGCCUACUUUGAAUGGCCUUAAGUCUAUCUUUGACCACUUUAAUCUUUUCAUUUGUAUCAUGGAUUAACUCCGGGCCACAGAGCUCUUUUUUUCCUACUUCAUUCCAACACAAAGGUGUAUGACACUGCUUCCCAUAAAGUGCCUCAAAGGGAGCCAUACCAAUACUAGAAUGGUAGCUGUUGUUGUAUGCAAUUUCCAUCAAAGAUAGAUUCUUAUCCCAACUCCCCCUGAACUGCAUGGCACACGAUCUCAACAUAUCCUCCAAAGUCUAGAUAGUCCUCUCAGAUUGCCCAUCAGUUUGAGGAUGAAAAGUAGUGCUGAAGUGUAAUCAGGUACCUAAAGCUGCCUGAAGAGCUCCCUAGAAUUUAGAAGCAAAUCUAGGAUCUCGAUCCGACACUAUUGAUUUAGGUACACCAUGUAGUCUCACAAUCUCAUUCACAUAAAGUUCCGCCAAUUUAUCUAGCGUAUACUUCUUUCCCACUGGCAAGAAAUGUGCAGAUUUGGUGAGUCUAUCCACAAUCACCCAAACACCGUCAUGCCCAUCACGGGUACGAGGUAAACUGAAAACAAAAUCUAUGGUGAUGUGGCCGGUCCCACUUCCACACUGGAAUGGUCAACGAUUCAAACAAUCUAGAAGGUUUCUGCCUUUCAGCUUUCACUUGUUGACAGAUCAAACAUCUACUCACAAAAUCUGCAAUUUCCCUCUUCAUGUUUGGCCACCAAUAAAAAUCCUUCAAAGUCCGAUACAUUUUUGUACUACCAGGGUGUGCAGCAUAUGCAGAACUAUGGGCUUCUUCCAUUAUCUCCUUCUUUAACUCUUCAUUUCUCUUUGGAACACAAAGUCUAUUUUUGAACAAUAAAGUUCCAUCUCUUCUAACUGAAAAAUCAACGGUGGUUCCACUCAAUGUUCUUUCUAUCAACCGAACUAUGGAAGGGUCAUCAUACUGUGUCUCUCGCACCUUAUCAACCAAAACUGGUCUCACAUGAAAACUAACUACCAAGGCACCAACUUCAUCCACCGCUAAAUCCAUCCAUGUAGCUCGCAACUCAUAAAGAAGUGGAACACGAACCGUCCUCAUGUGAGACAAAGAUAUGGAGGGAUUUCGACUAAGAGCAUCCGUUACUACAUUAGCUUUUCUAGGAUGAUAAAUAGUGCAAUCAUAAUAAUUGUUCAACUCCAUCCACCUUCUCUGUCUCAUAUUUAACUCUCUUUAAGUAAACACAUACCGAAGACUUUUGUGAUCGGUAAAAAUCUGACACUUGGCUCCAUAAAGAUAGUGCCUCCACAACUUGAGAGCAAAUACUACCGUUGCAAGCUCUAGAUCAUAAGUGGGAUAAUUCAUCUCAUGUGGCUUCAAUUGCCUAGAAGCGUAGGCAAUAACUCGAUCAUGUUGCAUCAAUAUUUCGCCUAGACCUCGUCUAGAAGCAUCACAAUAAACCACAUACUUCCCACUAUCAUCCGGAAGUGCCAAAACAGGAGCGCUAGUCAAGCGAUUGUUUAAUUCUUGAAAACUUUGCUCACAUUGAUCUGACCAUUCGAACUUAACUUCCUUCUUGGUCAAUCUUGUAAGUGGAGCAGUAAUCUUUGAAAAAUCUUACACAAAACGUCGAUAAUAACCUGCUAACCCUAAGAAACUGCAAAUCUCCGUCACAGUGGUGGGUCUUCUCUAAUUGGACACUGCUUCCACCUUUUGGGGAUCCACACUAACACCUUCUGCAAAAACUACAUGUCCCAAGAACCCCACUUUAUCCAGCCAAAAUUCACACUUGUUGAAUUAAGCAUACAAUUGAGCAUUUCGUAAAGUAUGCAAUAUCAUUCUUAGAUGUUUGGCAUGCUCCUUCUCACUUCUUGAGUAAACCAAGAUGUCAUCUAUGAAUACGAUCACGAAACGAUCAAGAUAUGGACUAAACACCUUAUUCAUGAGAUGCAUGAACGCAGCGGGUGCAUUAGUAAGUCCUAACGGCAUCACCACAAAUUCAUAAUAACCAUAACGUGAUCGAAAAACAGUCUUAGCUAUGUCACUCUCUCGGAUCCGCAGUUGAUGAUACCCAGAUCUCAAGUCAAUCUUUGAGAAAACAGAAGUACCCCUCAACUGAUCAAAUAGAUCAUCAAUGCGAGGCAACGAAUAUUUAUUCUUCACCGUGACUUGAUUUAGCUUCCUAUAAUCAAUGCAUAGUCUCAUGGUGCCAUCUUUCUUCUUAACAAACAACACUGGAGCACCCCAUGGAGACAUGCUAGGCCAAAUAAAACCCUUGUCUACCAACUCCUGCAGUUGAGUCUUCAACUCUUUCAAUUCCGCUGGAGCCAUUAUGUAAGGUGUUUAUGAGAUAUGUAUAGUUCCGGGAAGUAACUCAAUAGAAAAGUCUACCUCCCUUACAGUAGGCAAACUAGACAACUCCUCGGGAAAAACAUCCGGAAACUCCUUUACUACAGGAAUAUCCUUUACUCCCAAAACUCCCACACUUGUAUCCACAAUAUGAGCUAAAAACGCCUGACAACCUUUGUAAUAUCCCAUAUCGGCCAAACGGAGAGGGGUUAUGUGCUGUAUAUGUACAUGCCCACCUCCAAUCUAAUACGAGGCCUUUUGGUGGCUCAGCGGCUUCGGAGGGGAUGGGUACUCCGAGAUUAAGCAUGAUGAUGCUAGAGCAAUCCCAAGAUGGGUGACCUACUGGGAAGCUGCUCCUGAGCUGCCGGAAACAAAACCGUGAGGGCCGGUGGGCCCAAAGCGGACAAUUUCGUGUUACGGCGGAAUAGUUCCUGGGAUGUGACAAAUGGUAUCAGAGCCACUCUGCCGUGUGGUGCGAGUGUGCCGACGAGGGCGUCGGACUCCCAAGGGGGGUGGAUUGUAAUAUCCCACAUCGGUCAAAUGGAGAGGGGUUAUGUGCUGUAUAUGUACAUGCCUACCUCUAAUCUAAUACGAGGCCUUUUGGUGGCUCAGCGGCUUCGGAGGGGAUGGGUACUCCGAGGUUAAGCAUGAUGAUGCUAGAGCAAUCCCAGGAUGGGUGACCUACUGGGAAGCUGCUCCUGAGCUACCGGAAACAAAACCGUGAGGGCCAGUGGGCCCAAAGCGGACAAUUUCAUGUUACGGCGGAAUGGGUUCUGGGAUGUGACAACCUUUAUUUAACAAUUUCCUAGUAGCAACGGCUGAUAUCAGGCAACUCGAAAUAACAUCUCUUUCCCCUUGAAAUGUAACCUCCGAUCCUUCUGGACUUCGAAACACCACUACUUUUCAGAAACAAUCUACCAUAGUUCUAUAAGCCUCCAAAAAGUCUAUUCCCAAGAUCACAUCAAACUCCACUAUAUCUAAAGGAAUUAGAUUAGCAUUAAACUUAAAUCCCUCCCCAGCCACUAAACACCCAAUUUAUUCUCAUUACCUCUCUGGAGGGUAGAGACACAUGCCACUCGCCUGGAAGGGACGAUGAUGGCACAUUGGCGUGGAGGGCAAAUCUACUAGACAUAAAUGAAUGCGUGGCUCCAGGAUCAAUUAAAGUAAAUGCAAGCUGACCAAAAAAUAAUAACGUACCAAUGAUAACCUCUAGAGAAGUACGACCCUCCUGCUGGGUCAUAGUAUGAAGUCUAGCGCGAGACAUGGGACAUCCACGCUGACCACCACCUUGCUGAGAGCCACCCCUGGCCGCUACACUGCCCUGAGUACCACUAUUGGAGCCUUUGGCUAAAGACUGACCAACUGGAUGAGUAUGGGUGGGGGUGGUCCUCUGAGCCAACAAUGGAUAAUCUCUCCUGAAGUGGUCCUGACUACCACACUCAUAGCACCUAGUAAACUGCUGCUGUCCAUAAGAAAAAGUUUGACCACCAGAUGUCCCACCCUGGAAGCUGCCACCAGUACCAAAUUGUCCAAUCUGCUGUCUACCCAACUAACUCUGGAAAGGUCUCCUGAAAUGUCCUCUAGUCCUAUUCUGAGCACCAGAGCUCGAUCCAUUGCUAUUUCCACUACCAGCAGAAGACCCAGAAGCAGAUGAGGAAGCGGUUUUCUUGGAUGAACCCUGACUAGGACCGCUGAAAUUUCGGGGCCGAGCACUAUGUGUCCCAAUGGUCUCAAUAGCCAUAGCUGCACUAACCACAUCAAGAAAGGUCGGGUACACUACCCCUAUCAUCUUAUCAGCAUAAACACCACCAAGUGCCCCAAUGAACAUCCCAAUCUUGGUCCUCUCAUUAAGAACCAGAUAUGACACAUGAUAGCUCAGGGUAGUGAAUCUCUGCUCGAACUCUAUGACACCCUCAUCAUCCCUAUUCUUCAUGUUCAGGAAAUCCGACUGAAUCCUGCUACGAUGAGCAUGACUGAAAUACUGCCCCAAGAAGAGUGUCUUAAACUGCUCCCAUGUCAUAUCCUGAGCACCCUCAAUAUCCCUGAUGGCAAGUGACCACCAAUGAUACACUGAAUCAUCUAGAAACGUCACCGCCAUAUCCACCUUCUUUUCUUCCGGGAUAUCAGUACUCCUAAAACCUUUUUCCAUCUUACCUACCCAAGUGUAUGCAUCAAGGGGUCCCUUGGCACCCUUGAACUCAAUUGCCCCAGCCUCGAAAACAUCCCUCUUCUUCACAGUCCGAGGGUUCUGAACUUUAUCUAAAACACCCCUCAGCAUAUUCCCAAUAGAAUCCACUAAUCCCCUGAGGAAGAAGAUUGGCGUUGGUCGAAUUAGCUACCCGGGGUUGGCGUCUAGGAGGCAUAGUACCUGAGGAAGAAGAUAUUUAGUAGUCUAUAAACAAGACUAACAGAACUAUCACACAUACCCAAUAACAUAUAGCAUCCAAAGCAUAAACUGCCAAUGAAUCCGCCGCGGUCGGAUCACCACUCUAUAGACACUACGUGCUACUUAGGCAAAUAUGAUAAUAAUAAGGAGGCAGGAAAUAAAACCUAAAGCUUUAAUACCAACUGUCAGGACUCACCCCGAAUUUCACCCUGAAACCUAAAGUCAAUCCUGCGGGGUUCACCUCCAAGGAAAAUUUAUCGAAAAAGUUUAGCAUAACUUCCCUUGAAAGUUGACAACCCUUACCUGAAAAAUUCAGAAUACACUCCUAUAACGAAACAACCAUCCUCAACUUCUAGAGCCACCCGCUCCCCACAAACACAACCACCACAAUAAAACAAUAAAACCAUCCCCCAAUUCAUCACAUAAAUAUCCAACUAAAAUAACAAACUGCAUCCUUCGAAUAUUCUAAAAUGUAAUCAUAAGCCUUAGCACACAACCGAAUGAAUUUCAUUUACAUUCAUCAGAUUCCUUAUAUGAAUUCUAUGAAAAAAUAAGAAAGAGAUAGAAAUUCAUACAAGGCUACGACUCUUACAUCUAGUCUAACGCUCACGUCGCAUCAUAAUGAAACUUUAUCUCAUUAUGACGGAACAAGAUGGGUGUAUAUACAUGCAGAUCCCCUAUAUGAAAACCUAUACGAAAAUAUAAGAAAAUAGUUUUCAUAUAGGGCUACGAUGCUUGCGUCUAACGCUCACGUCGCGCCAUAAUAAAAUUUUACUUCAUUAUGACGGAACAAGCACGUAUGACUAGCUAGCAUUUAUUAUACAUGCUAUCCUCAUAAUAUCCAAAUACAUAUUAACCAAAAAUCUCAUUUUUGGUAAGUCUCAAAAAUGAUGAAAAUUGUCAAAUAUCCGAAAAAGCAAUAAAUCCCAGCAGAAGAAUAACUGAUCAACAAAAUAAUGCAUCGCAUGCUUUUAAAUUAAAACCAAGUCCACGCACAAAUUAGGCCUAAGCCUGAUGUCGAUCUGAGACCUCAUCUGCUCGAGCCUCCUCACGUCAUGUUCUAAAUAUAUAAUUAAAUUCCCAACCAAAAAUCUAAUAUUUAUACAAAAUAGGCGAAAUUAAACGUGAGCCGUAACCACGCUCAUUAUUGCCUAAUUAACCACCAAAAUACCAAACUUUGAAAAAUCUCAAACCUAUCCAAAACUCCUCCAAAAAUUCCAAACUUCACAUGAUUAGUCUCCCUUUAAUAUAACACAUUUCAAACCAUGAAAAUCUCCCUAACAGCGGCGGUGCUGACGUCUACUCUACCGGCAGCGGCGACCGGCACCGGUGACCUCUAAUGCCUACCAAAUUUUAGCAGCAUUUUCCUCUCAACCCACUAUACAACUUUCCUAACUAGCACAAACACCAAUUCCAAGCCUAACUAGAUCAAUCGAACAAAAACAUUUCAAGAAACACUAGAACUUCUACUCACCGAUUCUCCUCACCUGAAGCAAACUGGAUUGAGUCCUUUUAGGGCAAGGCUACUGGGUUGAAGACCUUCAAAACCAUAUAAGGCUUGCCCGGAUUGGUGGCCUGAGGAGGAAGUUCCGGCGACGGAACACCACGGACGACCAGAGCUGUCAGGACCUACCCCGGAUUUCCCCUUGAAAUCCGGAAUAAACCCUGCGGGACCCACCUCAAGGGAAAUUCUACCAAAAUUUUGGCAUAACUUCCCUUGAAAAUGAGUAACCCUACCUAGAAGAAAAAAAUCACCAAAACCCAAACACUUCUAAAACAAUUCAAUCCACGUCUUCUGCAGCCAUCCGCUCCUCCAAAUAAACAUCCACCACCUCAACCAACAUAAUAAAUCGAAAUAAUUUCAUGAAUUUAAUCCCUCAUAUAACAUGCCAAAUAAACCUUUUUCAACACUCAUAGGUGGAGUCAUAAGCUCUUAACUCGCAACAUUAACAACAACAACAACACUUAAAACAUCCCAAGGUUAUCAGAGCAAC
rnacentral:lncRNA from 1 species